rnacentral:lncRNA from 1 species
GUAGUCUCUCUUCUCGCUCAAGCACCGGGUUAAGUGUUUACACUCAUAAUUUGCUGUGCUAGUUCCUCUAAGAGUUUGAUUAAAGACUACAAGUUAAGCACACUAGUAUGACUCAUCAAAGGGUCUUUGUUGGGUUGUAAUGGGCAUACGGGCUAAGGUGAGGUAAAUAUGGUUCAGUGGCUAAUUUCAGUAUCACCCUUACUCAGUAUACUCAUUCAGUACAGCUAUAACCAACCCUCUAUUCCCCUGUUUUCAAUGGGGUCCAUCUUCUCUUUGAUUCUUUCGUGGGCAAACGUUUUCAUUCACCAAAUAUGUAUAAUAAUUUUUUUUUUGUGCCCAGAUUUCUUUCUUUUCUCCUGUUCCUUAUUUACCAUUUCAUGCACUUCAACAAUUCUUUCUCCUAGAUAUAGCAUCAACAAAGCUCAAGAGAGAAUUAAUUCGGCUCAAAAUGGCAUUCAAGGGGUUAUUUUCUCAUCAAACAACAAAGAAGAAUCUGGGGCCCUAAGUCAAAGAAUC